rnacentral:rRNA from 1 species
GAUGAACGCUGGCGGCGUGCCUAAUACAUGCAAGUCGAGCGAACGGACGAGAAGCUGGCUUCUCUGAUGUUAGCGGCGGACGGGUGAGUAACACGUGGAUAACCUACCUAUAAGACUGGGAUAACUUCGGGAAACCGGAGCUAAUACAGGAGAAUAUUUUGAACCGCAUGGUUCAAAAGUGAAAGACGGUCUUGCUGUCACUUAUAGAUGGAUCCGCGCUGCAUUAGCUAGUUGGUAAGGUAACGGCCUACCAAGGCAACGAUGCAUAGCCGAGCUGAGAGGGUGAUCGGCCACACUGGAACUGAGACACGGUCCAGACUCCUACGGGAGGCAGCAGUAGGGAAUCUUCCGCAAUGGGCGAAAGCCUGACGGAGCAACGCCGCGUGAGUGAUGAAGGUCUUCGGAUCGUAAAACUCUGUUAUUAGGGAAGAACAUAUGUGUAAGUAACUGUGCACAUCUUGACGGUACCUAAUCAGAAAGCCACGGCUAACUACGUG